rnacentral:rRNA from 1 species
AGUGAACGCCGGCGGUAGGCCUAACACAUGCAAGUCGAACGGCAGCACAGUAAGAGCUUGCUCUUACGGGUGGCGAGUGGCGGACGGGUGAGGAAUACAUCGGAAUCUACUUUUUCGUGGGGGAUAACGUAGGGAAACUUACGCUAAUACCGCAUACGACCUACGGGUGAAAGCAGGGGAUCUUCGGACCUUGCGCGAUUGAAUGAGCCGAUGUCGGAUUAGCUAGUUGGCGGGGUAAUGGCCCACCAAGGCGACGAUCCGUAGCUGGUCUGAGAGGAUGAUCAGCCACACUGGAACUGAGACACGGUCCAGACUCCUACGGGAGGCAGCAGUGGGGAAUAUUGGACAAUGGGCGCAAGCCUGAUCCAGCCAUACCGCGUGGGUGAAGAAGGCCUUCGGGUUGUAAAGCCCUUUUGUUGGGAAAGAAAAGCAGCAGGUUAAUACCCCGCUGUUCUGACGGUACCCAAAGAAUAAGCACCGGCUAACUUCGUG